CCUACGGGGGGCUGCAGUAGGGAAUUUUCGGCAAUGGGGGGAACCCUGACCGAGCAACGCCGCGUGAACGAAGAAGUUAUUCGUAAUGUAAAGUUCUUUUAUCAGGGAAGAAAGAGAAAUUUGACGGUACCUUAAGAAUAAGCUCCUGCUAACUACGUGCCAGCAGCCGCGGUAAUACGUAGGGAGCGAGCGUUAUCCGGAAUUAUUGGGCGUAAAGGGUGCGUAUAUGGAAUAGUAAGUCUUUUGUAAAAAGGCUGGGCUCAACCCAGUAGGGCAAAAAAAACUGCAAAGCUAGAGUAUGACAGAGGCAAGUGGAACUACAUGUGUAGCGGUAAAAUGCGUAAAUAUAUGUAAGAACACCAGUGGCGAAGGCGGCUUGCUGGGUCGAUACUGACAUUGAGGCACGAAAGCGUGGGGAGCAAACAGGAUUAGAUACCCUAGUAGUC
rnacentral:rRNA from 1 species